UACGUAGGGGGCUAGCGUUGUCCGGAAUCAUUGGGCGUAAAGCGCGUGUAGGCGGCCCGGUAAGUCCGCUGUGAAAGUCCAGGGCUCAACCCUGGGAUGCCGGUGGAUACUGUCGGGCUCGAGUCCGGAAGAGGCGAGUGGAAUUCCUGGUGUAGCGGUGGAAAUGCGCAGAUAUCAGGAGGAACACCAAUAGGCGAAGGCAGCUCGCUGGGACGUUACUGACACUGAGGCGCGAAAGCGUGGGGAGCGAACAGG
rnacentral:rRNA from 1 species